rnacentral:rRNA from 1 species
UACAAAAACAUGUCUGUGUGAAGUUGUUAUAAAGUCUAGCCUGCCCACUGAUUGAUUUAAAGGGCCGCGGUAAUUUGACCGUGCGAAGGUAGCAUAGUCAGUAGUCUUUUAAUUGAAGGCUUGAAUGAAAGGUUGGACGAGGGAUAAGCUGUCUCCUGAGGCGAGCAUUGAAUUUAACUUUUGAGUGAAAAGGCUCGAAUUUUUUGGUGGGACGAUAAGACCCUAUAAAACUUGAUAUAAGCUUGAUUUAAUUUGCGAUUAUUAGUGAAAAGUAGUUUUGUUAGGUUUAUAUUCCGUUGGGGAGAUGUAGAUAUAAUGUGUAACUGUCUAUUAAAUUUAAUAGUUAUAAUUAGUUUUUGAUCCUUCUUUGUGGAUUAGAAGAAUAAGUUACUUUAGGGAUAACAGCGUGAUUUUCUUUGAGAGUUCUUAUCGACAAGAGUAGUUGCGACCUCGAUGUUGAAUUAAAAUUUCAGCUAGGUGUAGCCGUUUAGCUGGUGGGUCUGUUCGACCUUUAAAAUUUUACGUGAUCUGAU